UACAGAGGUCUCAAGCGUUGUUCGGAUUCAUUGGGCGUAAAGGGUGCGUAGGUGGCGCCGUAAGUCGGGUGUGAAAUUUCGGAGCUUAACUCCGAAGCUGCAUUCGAUACUGCGGUGCUUGAGGACUGGAGAGGAGACUGGAAUUCAUGGUGUAGCAGUGAAAUGCGUAGAGAUCAUGAGGAAGACCAGUGGCGAAGGCGGGUCUCUGGACAGUUCCUGACACUGAGGCACGAAGGCCAGGGGAGCAAACGGG
rnacentral:rRNA from 1 species